rnacentral:rRNA from 1 species
UACGGAGGGUGCAAGCGUUGUUCGGAAUUAUUGGGCGUAAAGCGCGCGCAGGCGGCUGGAUAAGUCCAGGGGUGAAAUGCCGGAGCUCAACUCCGUGCGUGCCUCGGAUACUGUCCGGCUGGAGACACGUAGAGGCAAGCGGAAUUUCGGGUGUAGCGGUGGAAUGCGUAGAGAUCCGAAAGAACACCGGAGGCGAAGGCGGCUUGCUGGGCGUGAUCUGACGCUGAGGCGCGAAAGCGUGGGGAGCGAA